UAACUGAUACGGUAUCGAGGUGCCCUGAAAGAGGGAGAAUAGGGAAUCCGGAAUUGUCUUCAAAGGUGACAAUAAACGGAGCGGACCCACCACUGUAAUCGGCGAGCGAUCAGAGGCCACUGGCAUAAGCCGGGAAGGUCCUGAAGAACAGCAAUGACCCGUAAGCCAGGAGACCUGCCUUGGUAUUGUAGAUUGU
rnacentral:ncRNA from 2 species